GCCGCGGUAAUACGGAGGGUGCAAGCGUUAAUCGGAAUUACUGGGCGUAAAGCGCACGCAGGCGGUCUGUCAAGUCGGAUGUGAAAUCCCCGGGCUCAACCUGGGAACUGCAUUCGAAACUGGCAGGCUAGAGUCUUGUAGAGGGGGGUAGAAUUCCAGGUGUAGCGGUGAAAUGCGUAGAGAUCUGGAGGAAUACCGGUGGCGAAGGCGGCCCCCUGGACAAAGACUGACGCUCAGGUGCGAAAGCGUGGGGAGCAAACAGGAUUAGAUACCCUGGUAGUCCACGCCGUAAACGAUGUCGACUUGGAGGUUGUGCCCUUGAGGCGUGGCUUCCGGAGCUAACGCGUUAAGUCGACCGCCUGGGGAGUACGGCCGCAAGGUUAAAACUCAAAUGAAUUGACGGGGGCCCGCACAAGCGGUGGAGCAUGUGGUUUAAUUCGAUGCAACGCGAAGAACCUUACCUACUCUUGACAUCCAGAGAACUUUCCAGAGAUGGAUUGGUGCCUUCGGGAACUCUGAGACAGGUGCUGCAUGGCUGUCGUCAGCUCGUGUUGUGAAAUGUUGGGUUAAGUCCCGCAACGAGCGCAGCCCUUAUCCUUUGUUGCCAGCGGUCCG
rnacentral:rRNA from 1 species